CUCGGCCGAGGAGGAGGAGGAGGAGGAGGAGGCGAAGCCACAGUGCCACACCAGCCACCACCCCUCGGCGGCGGCUCCUCCUCCUCGGCUUCCUCCGCCACCAUAUCGCCGUACCAGGAGCUUGCACUCGUCGCGUCGUCGGCGACCAUGUACCGCGCCGCUGGGGGGUCAUCUCCGCUCUCUCAAGCAUCAUGGUGCUAGUAGGUUUGCUAGUACUAGUGUUGUGAAGCAGUCUUCAGUUGGUCUGUUCGGUUGGUUUCUUGGGGGAAAUUCAAGCCAGCUUCCUCCGCUUGAUGUUCCACUCCCAGGCAUUACACUUCCUCCACCACUGCCAGAUUUUGUAGAGCCAUCUAAGACAAAAUCACCACUCUUCCAAAUGGCAUCAAGAUUGCAUCAGAUACAUCGUCGGGGGUUAAAUUCAGAUUCCAGAUGCAUCAGUGGGACUGUACAUUGAUUGUGGUUCUUUUUAUGAAACAUCGGCUUCAUCUGGAACAUCAUAUCUAUUGGAGAGAAUGGCCUUCAAGAGCACAACAAACCGGAGUCACUUGCGGUUAGUUAGGGAGGCAGAAGCAAUCAGAGGGAGUGUCAAAUUAUUUUUCAUUUGAAAAUAUGCCAUUUGACAUUUUCCUUGAAUAAACCAAACAAUCACCCCCCAAUAAAUGCACAUUUCAUGCCAGUAAAAUGUCCUGGUCUGUAAUUAUAACCAUCCCAACACUCACCUUGAAAUACAAGUCAAAGGCUCGAUGAUGUACUCAAGCUUUUCUGCAUGUAUCAUGUGCUUUCCAUACAUUCCACUUGGCUUUGACAUGUGAUGUUAAUUUACCAGAACCCGGAUUUUUGCAUCAAACGCUGUGGAUUUGGCAGCAAGGGAACUCAAUGAAGUUGCAACUUCUGGGAAAGGUUUCUUUCAUUUUUCAUCUCAAAAUUACAAUAUAUUUUCAGGUUAGAUUGAUCCACUAUGUGCACGUCCUUUCCCUGCCUUUUACUUUGUUCAGUUACACAAGAACAGCUUGAUCGUGCUAAAGAGGCUACCAAGUCUUCAGUUCUGAUGGACUUGGAAUCAAGAAUAUUGGAACACAGUUAUUCAUGUGCCUAGCUACGAAUAUGUCAGUUGCAAGUUCCAUUCCAGGUGAGCAUUCAACACCUGGACCUGCGUGGCUUGUUCUGGAAUUUCACGCCCCAGCUUUGCACUGGCAAAUCGAUUGGAAUAAAUAGAGCCCAUACACAUUUUUUGCUGGACAGUUCGAGGGAUCCAUGAUCAUACUACCCUCACUGUUCAUGUUUUCAACUAAGCAAGUAAGCAUGUGCUCAUGCUGCCACAAUUCCGCGGUUCCUAGAUCAUUCGGCGGCGG